GAUGAACGCUGGCGGCGUGCCUAAUACAUGCAAGUCGAGCGAACAGACGAGGAGCUUGCUCCUCUGACGUUAGCGGCGGACGGGUGAGUAACACGUGGAUAACCUACCUAUAAGACUGGGAUAACUUCGGGAAACCGGAGCUAAUACCGGAUAAUAUAUUGAAGCGCAUGGUUCAAUAGUGAAAGACGGUUUUGCUGUCAGUUCUAGAUGGAUCCGCGCCGCUUUAGCUAGUUGGUAAGGUAACGGGUUACCAAGGCAACGAUGCGUAGCCGAGCUGAGAGGCUGGUCGCCCACACUGGAGCUUAGCCACGGUCCAGACUCCUACGAGAGGGAGCAGUAGGGUAUCUUCCGCAAUGGGCGAGAGCAUGACGGAGCAGCGCCGCGUGAGUGAUGAAGGUCUUCGGAUCGUAAAACUCUGUUAUUAGGGAAGAACAAAUGUGUAAGUAACUAUGCACGUCUUGACGGUACCUAAUCAGAAAGCCACGGCUAACUACGUG
rnacentral:rRNA from 1 species